UACGUAGGCAGCAAACGUUGUUCGGAGUUACUGGGCGUAAAGAGUACGUAGCGGUUUGCCAAGUUUGGUGUGAAAUCUCCUGGCUUAACUGGGAGGGUGCGCCGAAUACUGGCGGGCUUGAGUAUUGGAGAGGAAAGCGGAAUUCCUGGUGUAGCGGUGAAAUGCGUAGAUAUCAGGAGGAACACCGGUGGUGUAGACGGCUUUCUGGACAAUCACUGACACUGAACCGCGAAAGCUAGGGGAGCAAACGGG
rnacentral:rRNA from 1 species